AUGUACAUUCCUAUAACAUAGUAUUAAUGCAACAUAUGCCAUUAGAAAUCUAUAGUUAAGCGCACUUAGGCUAGAGUAGUACUGGGAUGGGUGAGCACCCGGGAAGUCCUAGUAUUUUACAUG
rfam:Picea glauca, whole genome shotgun sequence.